UGGAAACGGUAGCUAAUACCGCAUAACGUCGCAAGACCAAAGAGGGGGACCUUCGGGCCUCUUGCCAUCAGAUGUGCCCAGAUGGGAUUAGCUAGUAGGUGGGGUAAUGGCUCACCUAGGCGACGAUCCCUAGCUGGUCUGAGAGGAUGACCAGCCACACUGGAACUGACACACGGUCCAGACUCCUACGGGAGGCAGCAGUGGGGAAUAUUGCACAAUGGGCGCAAGCCUGAUGCACCCAUGCCGCGUGUAUGAAGAAGGCCUUCGGGUUGUAAAAUACUUUCAGCGAGGAAGAAGGCAUUGUGGUUAAUAACCACAGUGAUUGACGUUACUCGCAGAAGAAGCACCGGCUAACUCCGUGCCAGCACCCGCGGUAAUACAGAGGGUGCAAGCGUUAAUCAGAAUUACUGGGCGUAAAGCGCACGCAGGCGGUCUGUCAAGUCAGAUGUGAAAUCCCCGGGCUCAACCUGGGAACUGCAUUCGAAACUGGCACGCUAGAGUCUUGUAGAGGGGGGUAGAAUUCCGUGUGUAGCGGUGAAAUGCGUAGAGAUCUGGAAGAAUACCGGUGGCGAACGCGGCCCCCUGGACAAAGACUGACGCUCAUGUGCGAAAGCGUGGGGAGCAAACAAGAUUAGAUACCCUGGUAGUCCACGCCGUAAACGAUGUCGACUUGGAUGUUGUUCUCUUGAGGAGUGGCUUCCGGAGCUAACGCGUUAAGUCGACCGCCUGGGGAGUACGGCCGCAAGGUUAAAACUCAAAUGAAUUGACGGGGGCCCGCACAAGCGGUGGAGCAUGUGGUUUAAUUCGAUGC
rnacentral:rRNA from 1 species